AUUGAACGCUGGCGGCAUGCUUUACACAUGCAAGUCGGACGGCAGCAUAAAAGAGCUUGCUCUUUUGAUGGCGAGUGGCGAACGGGUGAGUAAUGCAUCGGAACGUACCGAGUAGUGGGGGAUAACUGUCCGAAAGGAUGGCUAAUACCGCAUAUUCUCUGAGGAGGAAAGCAGGGGACCUUAGGGCCUUGCGCUAUUUGAGCGGCCGAUGUCUGAUUAGCUAGUUGGUGGGGUAAGAGCCCACCAAGGCGACGAUCAGUAGCGGGUCUGAGAGGAUGAUCCGCCACACUGGGACUGAGACACGGCCCAGACUCCUACGGGAGGCAGCAGUGGGGAAUUUUGGACAAUGGGCGCAAGCCUGAUCCAGCCAUGCCGCGUGUAUGAAGAAGGCCUUCGGGUUGUAAAGUACUUUUGUCAGGGAAGAAAAGCCUGAGGAUAACACCCUCAGGUCAUGACGGUACCUGAAGAAUAAGCACCGGCUAACUACGUGCCAGCAGCCGCGGUAAUACGUAGGGUGCGAGCGUUAAUCGGAAUUACUGGGCGUAAAGCGAGCGCAGACGGUUAUUUAAGCAAGAUGUGAAAGCCCCGGGCUCAACCUGGGAACUGCGUUUUGAACUGGGUAACUAGAGUGUGUCAGAGGGGGGUAGAAUUCCACGUGUAGCAGUGAAAUGCGUAGAGAUGUGGAGGAAUACCGAUGGCGAAGGCAGCCCCCUGGGAUAACACUGACGUUCAUGCUCGAAAAGCGUGGGUAGCAAACAGGAUUAUAUACCCUGGUAGUCCAAGGGCGAAUUCCACAGUGGGAUAUCAAGCUUAUCGAGACCGUCGACCUCGAGGGGGGGCCACGGUACCCAGCUUUUGUUCCCUUUAGUAAGGUUUAUUUG
rnacentral:rRNA from 1 species